UAUAUCUACUACUUAUAUAUAAGUGUGAAUGUGAGGGUAUUUUUGGUAUUUACUAGCUUUUGCUCCUUAAAACUUUUGUAUGUCAAUGCUUUAUAAUUGUACCUUUUCUUCUUUAGACCAAAAAACCAGCCAACAUCUCUAUAAUGACACAUAUAUCCAUCAUAAAGUUGUACUCUUUAAUUAAUUUAAGUGGGCCCCAC
rnacentral:lncRNA from 1 species